GAUGAACGCUGGCGGCGUGCCUAAUACAUGCAAGUCGAACGCUUUGUGGUUCAACUGAUUUGAAGAGCUUGCUCAGAUAUGACGAUGAACAUUGCAAAGAGUGGCGAACGGGUGAGUAACACGUGGGAAACCUACCUCUUAGCAGGGGAUAACAUUUGGAAACAGAUGCUAAUACCGUAUAACAAUGACAACCGCAUGGUUGUUAUUUAAAAGAUGGUUCUGCUAUCACUAAGAGAUGGUCCCGCGGUGCAUUAGCUAGUUGGUAAGGUAAUGGCUUACCAAGGCGAUGAUGCAUAGCCGAGUUGAGAGACUGAUCGGCCACAAUGGGACUGAGACACGGCCCAUACUCCUACGGGAGGCAGCAGUAGGGAAUCUUCCACAAUGGGCGAAAGCCUGAUGGAGCAACGCCGCGUGUGUGAUGAAGGGUUUCGGCUCGUAAAACACUGUUGUAAGAGAAGAAUGACAUUGAGAGUAACUGUUCAAUGUGUGACGGUAUCUUACCAGAAAGGAACGGCUAAAUACGUGCCAGCAGCCGCGGUAAUACGUAUGUUCCAAGCGUUAUCCGGAUUUAUUGGGCGUAAAGCGAGCGCAGACGGUUAUUUAAGUCUGAAGUGAAAGCCCUCAGCUCAACUGAGGAAUUGCUUUGGAAACUGGAUGACUUGAGUGCAGUAGAGGAAAGUGGAACUCCAUGUGUAGCGGUGAAAUGCGUAGAUAUAUGGAAGAACACCAGUGGCGAAGGCGGCUUUCUGGACUGUAACUGACGUUGAGGCUCGAAAGUGUGGGUAGCAAACAGGAUUAGAUACCCUGGUAGUCCACACCGUAAACGAUGAGUGCUAGGUGUUUGAGGGUUUCCGCCCUUAAGUGCCGCAGCUAACGCAUUAAGCACUCCGCCUGGGGAGUACGACCGCAAGGUUGAAACUCAAAGGAAUUGACGGGGACCCGCACAAGCGGUGGAGCAUGUGGUUUAAUUCGAAGCAACGCGAAGAACCUUACCAGGUCUUGACAUCCCUUGACAACUCCAGAGAUGGAGCGUUCCCUUCGGGGACAAGGUGACAGGUGGUGCAUGGUUGUCGUCAGCUCGUGUCGUGAGAUGUUGGGUUAAGUCCCGCAACGAGCGCAACCCUUAUUACUAGUUGCCAGCAUUUAGUUGGGCACUCUAGUGAGACUGCCGGUGACAAACCGGAGGAAGGUGGGGAUGACGUCAAAUCAUCAUGCCCCUUAUGACCUGGGCUACACACGUGCUACAAUGGCGUAUACAACGAGUUGCCAACCCGCGAGGGUGAGCUAAUCUCUUAAAGUACGUCUCAGUUCGGAUUGUAGGCUGCAACUCGCCUACAUGAAGUCGGAAUCGCUAGUAAUCGCGGAUCAGCACGCCGCGGUGAAUACGUUCCCGGGUCUUGUACACACCGCCCGUCACACCAUGAGAGUUUGUAACACCCAAAGCCGGUGGGGUAACCUUCGGGAGCCAGCCGUCUAAGGUGGGACAGAUGAUUAGGGUG
rnacentral:rRNA from 1 species